CAGUCGCCACGGUAAUACGGAGGGUGCAAGCGUUAAUCGGAAUUACUGGGCGUAAAGCGCACGCAGGCGGUCUGACAAGUCAGAUGUGAAAUCCCCGGGCUUAACCUGGGAACUGCAUUUGAAACUGUCAGGCUGGAGUCUUGUAGAGGGGGGUAGAAUUCCAGGUGUAGCGGUGAAAUGCGUAGAGAUCCGGAGGAAUACCGGUGGCGAAGGCGGCCCCCUGGACAAAGACUGACGCUCAGGUGCGAAAGCGUGGGGAGCAAACAGGAUUAGAGACCCGAGUAGUCCCUGUCUCUUAUAC
rnacentral:rRNA from 1 species